ACUUUUUUAAUAUAAUCAAUAUGGGUGAUUUCCACUCACCACAUCUCAGCACCCCCUGAGAAAAAGUA
rnacentral:tRNA from 1 species